rnacentral:misc_RNA from 1 species
CAAUGGUAGUACGGCCAUUU